ACAAAGUUACUGGUUUACUUGAGGUCACACAGGGAUGCAUUUUGAGCACUGCCAAUAAAAGGAAUCACAAUAAUUAUUCAGUAAUUAUUUAUAGAAUCCAUGUAAUUCAAUAAAUAAAAAUAAUUAUUUAUUGACCAAUUCAUACUAGGCAUUUUGUUCAAAACUGUACACAUACUUGGAUAUCAUAUUUUCAUCAUAAUCCUUAAGGCAAUGUUAUUAUCCAUAAGAAACAGGUAAGAAACCUGAAGAAGAGGGAUAGCAAAUCAUGUAUUUGGCUAUAUUUCUAUUUUUUGGUUUCUGUGAUGCUGGAAGAAUGACCAGAAUGAGUCAUGGGAAUAGCAUUCAUUCCUGUGUCAUUUUCCAGGACAGAGGUGUGCCCUCCUUCAGCAUUGGGACCGAAAUUCAGAAGUGUCUGCAACCUUGCUUUAACAGUGUGGGAAAUAACCUCUAUUACCUGGAAUUUCACUGGAACUUUGGAAUAUACAAGAGAAAUAUGAGACUUGGGUCUUCCCCUGGCUGUAUUUAAUUCACUAUUCUAUUGAGUACCAAUGAUUCUCAUUAAGACUUUUGCCUUUUUAUAACUUUUCUUUCUGACACAGAAUGUCAGAAUGAAAAUCUGUCUAGUUUCUUCACUUUAAAAAUGAUAAAACUGCAGGUUCACAAAGUUACUGGUUUACUUGAGGUCACACAGGGAUGCAUUUUGAGCACUGCCAAUAAAAGGAAUCACAAUAAUUAUUCAGU
rnacentral:lncRNA from 10 species